CUGGAUUGUAGGUAUUGCGAACACAACUAAUAUUCUGCCUUGCAAUCUCUACGAAGACGACAGCUGCCAAAUGGAUAGAAGAAAUGCCCCUUAUCUGUGUAUUCAUAAACUGCGUUAAAGGAGGCAAACGGGGAAUAGCUCAGAAAAGGUCGAUAGAACGCUGAAGGCAAUGGCGCCUGGUAUCGUUUGUAGGACGUCAGAGCAAGCGAGUCGAUUACGUAACCGGAAGCAUGUGCAGGGCUGAGACAGGUGUACAAGUACCAGGUAGGAAUGAAUAUGAAAGACACCAUAGACUCUUCCUGGAUAGAGCUGCAUGUCAUUCAUACGGCCAGAUGAUGUCUGGCCCCAGACAUACUCGUUUUCACUGACAAAGAAUGUCUUGGGCAGUCAGAGACUACAGUGUCCAUGGUCAGUUAGUUUAGUGGUUGUUUUAACAGAAGAACCAAGGUAGAUCCAAAAAGUCAGCCUGGAGAUGGUGAGCAUGUCAGCUAGUCCCAGCUAUGUCAGCUAGUCAAACAUAUCUCAGUAACUCACCCACCGUUUCUGAUCAUGCUGUGUGAACAGGAAUGAAACAAGCAUAGUAGGCAUAUUUAGUCAUGUGGGUUUUUUUUUUCAAACUUAACAGCAUGUCAUCCAUUCAUGUGUUUCAUGAUGGUAUUAGCUAUAAAAUAUUUAAACAUU